AUUUGAAUUGAGCGCGCUCUGUUCGAACCGACAUCUCUGGUGACGCCAUAGAAAUAGUCUAGAGCUGUUAUGGCCGCCUAAUUUGUUGUUGUUUGUGUGCAUGUCUCUUCUAAGUUUUAAAGUUAACAGAUUGCACGGUGUGUACUGGUGGCAUCGUCCCCUGCUGUGGUGAUACCCUCACUGCUUGCACUUCAAUGAAAGGGUUAUGGUGAAGACAAAGGAAUUGCAACUUUAGUUAUAGCAGCAUCAAGUAUGGAUGGCAUUACAGUCAUUAGAGCCUUUGGCAUGUUUCUUGGACUCAUCUUUUAUGCAGAUUAAACAGCCCUCGAUAGCAAGGAAGCCACAUUUACCUUUUGAAGUAUUCAGAUUAUUGAAGGAACCGGAUAUUGAUACUGAUAAGCAACAACAUGAGGACGAGGAAGGAUACAGCUCUUCGAAUGCUUCGGAUGUCUCUUUCGAUGAAGAAUACUAACAUGAUAAUGCUCUGAGUUAAAUAUUUAUAUGUUGUGUAUUCGAAAGCAGACUAGCAUUUAUACUGUUUGUAUAUUUGUAGUGUAGUGAUAUUUGUUUCUACUAACUUAACUUGCAUGCAUUAUUUUCCCAUAUUUAGAGACAUAUUUCUCCAUUUUUACACAUAAAACUACUUAAUGUUUAUUAUAAACUAAUGUAUCACACUUUUUGCUGUCAGAAUUUUCGUUUUCAAUAUUCAGAUUAAAAAAAAUCAUAUUUCGAUUUUUUUCCAGCUAGAAUCGCAAUCUAUCCCACUGUGCUCUGGUAGCAUGCAAAUAAGUAUGCUUCUAUGUAAGUAUCAGCACUCAAAGUGUUAAUUAAGGCCUUCUGCCACGACUUAUUACCAUACUGAAUUUCACGUGCUGAGAUGCAGUGGUACAUGGAGUUGAACACCAUUUAAUAGUUCUAUGAGCAUCUAUCAUUCUUCUCUUGUACCCUGAACUAACACUUCCAUCUUUUAUGAUAUUGUUUUCCCAUUUGCAUAAAAAUUUAUAUUCAUAUUUCCCAAAAUUCUUCGCAUAGACUAUGAUGGUAUAAUUUAUAUUAUUUUCGUACAGGCUAAAUCCUCAUUUAUGCAUUUCCAUAGUGUUCAUGACUGCUGUGCUGGUACAUUUUGAAGUGUAACUUGCAAAGGCAAUGUGUUCGUUGUAUGUUUAAUGGAAAUAAGGCAGUUGGUUGAAAGAAGAAAGACAGGAAUAGACACACUUGAAUGCUACAUCAAUAACCCCAUUUUACUUACAGGGAAGGGAAAAUAUGAUGCAAGGGGAUUUAGAUGGGAAAAAAUUUCUUGUCUUAAGAAACACAAGAUGAAGGAGCCACAUGCUAAAUGUACUGUGUUGUAACUUUUUUGUAAUUGUAUAAUCUAACCUGGCAGACUCAUACAACUUGAUAUGGAAGUUGUUUGGUCUCACAGCUGGAACUAAACACAGUUCUUUGUGGUCUGUGUAUCUUGUCUGUGGGCCUUAUGGUCAGUAUGCUUAUUAUGUUGCGGUACUGGGAUUUUCUUGAGGAUAAUAUUUUUCAUGUGACUACAGAACUAUUAAUGAUAUUACUGUUAAUAUGAGGAAACAGCUAUCUGAUCAUCCACAUUUCAUUGGUGAAAUACUCUAUGGAUAUUAAUAUAUGGGAGAGAGGUCGAUAUUAAAUUUUUUCAGACAAAUGCAAUUUGGGUUUCUGUUCAUCUAAUAUAAUCCCAACUUUGCAUGAAGUUCAAACAGAAUUUUAUAAAUGAUCUAAAAAUGUUUCACCACAAAAAAAAUUGUACAUGACAAUUUUAGGGCUCAUUAACCCUUUAACAGCUAGUGGAAACCAUAUUAAGUGACUGCAUUUUACUCCCACACUGUAUUUAUGUUUUGUAUGAUUCUCAUAGUAAACAGUGUUUAUUUCCGUAACAUUAUUAAUACCCAAUUAAUUUUGUAAUGAAGAUGUGAUUUUGGACUGUAGAGGCUGAAUUUGUAUAUGAGGUGUGUUAAAAAAACCCAAAAAUUUUGCUAUAAAGACUUUAUUGCUAA